UACGAAGGGGGCGAGCGUUGUUCGGAUUUACUGGGCGUAAAGGGCGCGCAGGCGGUCCUGUUUGUCGAGUGUGAAAGCCCGGAGCUCAACUCCGGAACUGCCUUUAAAACUGCAUCGCUUGAAUCCAGGAGAGGUGAGUGGAAUUCCGAGUGUAGAGGUGAAAUUCGUAGAUAUUCGGAAGAACACCAGUGGCGAAGGCGGCUCACUGGAGCUGGUAUUGACGCUGAGGUGCGAAAGCGUGGGGAGCAAACAGG
rnacentral:rRNA from 1 species